rnacentral:rRNA from 1 species
GAUGAACGCUGGCGGCGUGCCUAAUACAUGCAAGUCGAGCGAACAGAUGAGGAGCUUGCUCCUCUGACGUUAGCGGCGGACGGGUGAGUAACACGUGGAUAACCUACCUAUAAGACUGGGAUAACUUCGGGAAACCGGAGCUAAUACCGGAUAAUAUAUUGAACCGCAUGGUUCAAUAGUGAAAGACGGUUUUGCUGUCACUUAUAGAUGGAUCCGCGCCGCAUUAGCUAGUUGGUAAGGUAACGGCUUACCAAGGCAACGAUGCGUAGCCGACCUGAGAGGGUGAUCGGCCACACUGGAACUGAGACACGGUCCAGACUCCUACGGGAGGCAGCAGUAGGGAAUGUUACGCAAUGGGCGAAAGCCUGACGGAGCAACGCCGCGUGAGUGAUGAAGGUCUUCGGAUCGUAAAACUCUGUUAUUAGGGAAGAACAAAUGUGUAAGUAACUAUGCACGUCUUGACGGUACCUAAUCAGAAAGCCACGGCUAACUACGUG